ACUCCUACGGGAGGCAGCAGUGAGGAAUAUUGGUCAAUGGGCGCAAGCCUGAACCAGCCAUGCCGCGUGCAGGAUGAAGCAUCUAUGGUGUGUAAACUGCUUUUAUACGGGAAGAAACAGCUCUACGUGUAGAGCCUUGACGGUACCGUAGGAAUAAGGAUCGGCUAACUCCGUGCCAGCAGCCGCGGUAAU
rnacentral:rRNA from 1 species